rnacentral:rRNA from 1 species
CCUUAGAGUUUGAUCCUGGCUCAGGAUGAACGCUGGCGGCGUGCCUAAUACAUGCAAGUCGAACGAAUCUCUUCGGAGAUGAGUGGCGAACGGGUGAGUAAUACAUAGGUAACCUGCCCCUGUGCGGGGGAUAACAGGAGGAAACUCCUGCUAAUACCGCAUAGCCAUGAGCACCGCAUGGAGCUCAUGCCAAAUAUCCUUUCGGGGAUAGCGCAGGGAUGGACCUAUGGCGCAUUAGCUUGUUGGCGGGGCAACGGCCCACCAAGGCAACGAUGCGUAGCCGGCCUGAGAGGGCGGACGGCCACAUUGGGACUGAGACACGGCCCAGACUCCUACGGGAGGCAGCAGUAGGGAAUUUUCGGCAAUGGGGGAAACCCUGACCGAGCAACGCCGCGUGAGCGAAGAAGGCCUUCGGGUCGUAAAGCUCUGUUGUAAAGGAAGAACGGCGCAUACAGGAAAUGGUAUGCGAGUGACGGUACUUUACCAGAAAGCCACGGCUAACUACGUGCCAGCAGCCGCGGUAAUACGUAGGUGGCGAGCGUUAUCCGGAAUCAUUGGGCGUAAAGAGGGAGCAGGCGGCCGCAAGGGUCUGUGGUGAAAGACCGAAGCUAAACUUCGGUAAGCCAUGGAAACCGGGCGGCUAGAGUGCGGAAGAGGAUCGUGGAAUUCCAUGUGUAGCGGUGAAAUGCGUAGAUAUAUGGAGGAACACCAGUGGCGAAGGCGACGGUCUGGGCCGCAACUGACGCUCAUUCCCGAAAGCGUGGGGAGCAAAUAGGAUUAGAUACCCUAGUAGUCCACGCCGUAAACGAUGGUCACUAAGUGUCGGGGGUCAAACCCCGGUGCUGCAGUCAACGCAAUAAGUGACCCGCCUGAGUAGUACGUUCGCAAGAAUGAAACUC